ACACAUGCAGUCGAGCGGGGUGAUGUAGCUUGCUACAUUACCUAGCGGCGGACGGGUGAGUAAUGCUUAGGAAUCUGCCUAUUAGUGGGGGACAACAUUCCGAAAGGAAUGCUAAUACCGCAUACGCCCUACGGGGGAAAGCAGGGGAUCUUCGGACCUUGCGCUAAUAGAUGAGCCUAAGUCAGAUUAGCUAGUUGGUGGGGUAAAGGCCUACCAAGGCGACGAUCUGUAGCGGGUCUGAGAGGAUGAUCCGCCACACUGGGACUGAGACACGGCCCAGACUCCUACGGGAGGCAGCAGUGGGGAAUAUUGGACAAUGGGCGAAAGCCUGAUCCAGCCAUGCCGCGUGUGUGAAGAAGGCCUUUUGGUUGUAAAGCACUUUAAGCGAGGAGGAGGCUACUUAGAUUAAUACUCUAGGAUAGUGGACGUUACUCGCAGAAUAAGCACCGGCUAACUCUGUGCCAGCAGCCGCGGUAAUACAGAGGGUGCGAGCGUUAAUCGGAUUUACUGGGCGUAAAGCGUGCGUAGGCGGCUUCUUAAGUCGGAUGUGAAAUCCCUGAGCUUAACUUAGGAAUUGCAUUCGAUACUGGGAAGCUAGAGUAUGGGAGAGGAUGGUAGAAUUCCAGGUGUAGCGGUGAAAUGCGUAGAGAUCUGGAGGAAUACCGAUGGCGAAAGCAGCCAUCUGGGCCUAAUACUGACGCUGAGGUACGAAAGCAUGGGGAGCAAACAGGAUUAGAUACCCUGGUAGUCCAUGCCGUAAACGAUGUCUACUAGCCGUUGGGGCNUUGAGCUUUAGUGGCGCAGCUAACGCGAUAAGUAGACCGCCUGGGGGAGUACGGUCGCA
rnacentral:rRNA from 1 species